AUUGUUAUCUAGCAGGGUAAGUGCCAAGACCAUGAAGGUAGUUUUCCCAAGCCAGCCUUAUCCAUUGAGGUCCAAAUGUGUUGAACCCUGUGUUUUUUCCAAAUUCAAGAAACUUGCAUAAUUUGUGAUGUUGGGAGACUGGAUUCAAGCUUUCCCUUA
rnacentral:snRNA from 1 species